rnacentral:pre_miRNA from 12 species
GGUAUUUAAAAGGUAGAUUCUCCUUCUAUGAGUACAUUAUUUACGAUUAAUCAUAGAGGAAAAUCCACGUUUUCAGUAUC